UCAGAGUGAACGCUGGCGGCGUGCUUACACAUGCAAGUCGAACGAUGAAGCUCUAGCUGCUAGAGUGGAUUAGUGGCGCACGGGUGAGGAAUAUAUAGCUAAUGUGCCCCAUAGAGGGGGAUAACAGUUGGAAACGACUGCUAAUACCCCAUACUCCUUCUUCUCAUAAGGGAAGUCGGGAAAGUUUUUUCGCUAUGGGAUCGGGCUAUACGGUAUCAGCUUGUUGGUGAGGUAACGGCUCACCAAGGCUAUGACGCCUAUCUGGUCUGAGAGGAUGAUCAGACACACUGGAACUGAGACACGGUCCAGACUCCUACGGGAGGCAGCAGUGGGGAAUAUUACACAAUGGAGGCAACUCUGAUGUAGCAACGCCGCGUGGAGGAUGACACAUUUCGGUGCGUAAACUCCUUUUAUAUAGGAAGAUAAUGACGGUACUAUAUGAAUAAGCACCGGCUAACUCCGUGCCAGCAGCCGCGGUAAUACGGAGGGUGCAAGCGUUACUCGGAAUCACUGGGCGUAACGCGCGCGCAGGCGGCCCCUUAACUCGGAUGUGAAAUCCUAUGGCUCAACCAU
rnacentral:rRNA from 1 species